rnacentral:rRNA from 1 species
GUUGGCUUAGAAGCAGCCAUCCUUUAAAGAUAGCGUAACAGCUCACCGGUCUAAUUAAGAGACUUUGCGCCGAAGAUGUAACGGGGCUCAAACUACGUACCGAAGUUGUGGAUUUAAAGUGUCUACGGACAUUUUAUCUGGUAGCGGAACGUUCUGUAAGUCUGUGAAGGGAUACCCGCGAGGGGUCCUGGAGAUAUCAGAAGUGCGAAUGCUGACAUAAGUAGCGACAAACAGAGUGAAAGACUCUGUCGCCGAAAAUACAAGGGUUCCUGCGUAAAGUUAAUCUUCGCAGGGUUAGUCGGCCCCUAAGGCGAGGGCGAAAGCCGUAGUCGAUGGGAACAAGGUAAAUAUUCCUUGACCUGAUGGUAGUGACGGAUCUCGUAUAUUGUAAGUUCUUAUUGGAUUGAACUUGCCUUGAAGAGGUCCCAGGAAAUAACUCCAUCAUUAAGACCGUACCCUAAACGGACACACGUGUAUUGGUAGAGAAUACCUAGGCGCUUGAGAGAAUGAUGUUGAAGGAACUCGGCAACUUGCCUCUGUAACUUCGGGAUAAAGAGGGCCUUAUUUUGCGCAAGCAGAGUAAGGUGGCACAAGCCAGGGAGUAGCGACUGUUUAACAAAAACACAGGACUCUGCUAACACGUAAGUGGAUGUAUAGGGUCUGACGCCUGCCCGGUGCCGGAAGGUUAAAGCAAGAUGUGCAAGCAUCGAACUGAAGCCCCGGUGAACGGCGGCCGUAACUAUAACGGUCCUAAGGUAGCGAAAUUCCUUGUCGGGUAAGUUCCGACCUGCAUGAAUGGCGUAACGAUUUCUCCGCUGUCUCCAACAUCAACUCAGUGAAAUUGAAUUCUCCGUGAAGAUGCGGAGUUCCCGUGGUUAGACGGAAAGACCCCGUGCACCUUUACUACAACUUUACAUUGGUAUUAGAAAUGACAUGUGUAGCAUAGGAGGGAGACUUUGAAGUGGUGGCGCUAGCUAUCAUGGAGUCGUCAGUGAAAUACCUCUCUUGUUAUUUUUGAUAUCUAACUCCAUGCCGUCAUCCGGCUGGAAGACACUGUAUGGUGGGUAGUUUGACUGGGGCGGUCGCCUCCUAAAGAGUAACGGAGGCGUGCGAAGGUAGGCUCAGAUCGGUCAGAAAUCGAUCGUUGAGUGCAAUGGCAUAAGCCUGCCUGACUGCAAGACUGACAAGUCAAGCAGAGUCGAAAGACGGUCAUAGUGAUCCGGUGGUUCUGAGUGGAAGGGCCAUCGCUCAACGGAUAAAA